AUGGGCCGCGAGAACGCCGGAGAGAUCACUCGCCGGGACGCGACGGAGCGGCCCAAGGGGCGGAGUAUACGGGAACGUGCUGACCCGCUUUUGAGCUCCGGCUUCGUUCGCGUGGGGGUGGGGCCGCCGACCGCCGGAGACCCGUGCGGGUCCCGUCUCUGCGGCGCGGGGUGGGGCACACGCGCUGUGUUACGCUUUGCCUUUUACCACCGCCGGCCUUUUUCCCUUUGCUUCGGUGUCGCUUUCUUUACCGGUGUGGGGUACGUACGGCGCGGACAGGGAAAAGAGGCGCAGGGGCAUCGGACGGCCCUGUUUGAAAGGGCCGACGUCGGUGCCGGUCCCCGCCGUCGGAUCGGCGACGUCCCGCAGCUCGAGACGGCUGUGCUGCUGUCGUUGUUCACGGGAUGA
rnacentral:rRNA from 1 species